UACGAAGGGUGCAAGCGUUACUCGGAAUUACUGGGCGUAAAGCGUGCGUAGGCGGUUCGUUAAGUCCGUUGUGAAAGCCCUGGGCUCAACCUGGGAAUGGCAGUGGAUACUGGCGAGCUAGAGUGUGAUAGAGGAUGGUGGAAUUCCCGGUGUAGCGGUGAAAUGCGUAGAGAUCGGGAGGAACACCAGUGGCGAAGGCGGCCAUCUGGAUCAACACUGACGCUGAGGCGCGAGAGCGUGGGGAGCAAACGGG
rnacentral:rRNA from 1 species